UCGGGACUCGUCCAACUGGCAGGACGCCGGACUCUGACUCCGUCAAUGAAGGUUCGACUCCUUCGUCCCGAAC
rnacentral:tRNA from 1 species